CUGACUCGAUGGACGUGAGUCUGAGUGAACUCCGGGAGUUGGUGAUGGACAGGGAGGCCUGGCAUGCUGCAGUUCAUGGAGUCACAAAGAGUUGGACACGACUGAGCAACUGAACUGAAAGAUACAUUUGUACUUAUUCAAUCAAACAUACUCUGUCCCUACUUUCUGAAAUAAAACAGUUCCUAAAUGGUUCAUGACAGUAUGGUGUAGUAGUAUGGAACUCUAUUUUAGAGUGACAUUGAGUUGUUUAUGCAAAUGAAUGUUCUCAGCUUUGCUGUCUCACGGUGCAACAGAAAUAGAUAAAAACAAUAGGUAUAGGGAGACGAGAGAAUGUGAAAACAAUACCAAACAAUGCUAUUGUGAAUUUUUUCUAAAAGUUUGGAUAUGGUUUUGCAAAAGCCAAGGCAAGAUUCAGUGUUGGGUGAAGUCUCCAAAAAGAAAGUUUUCCUCUCAUGUAAGACAAAGGCGUCAUUUCCCCCAAAGGCUGAGGCCCAAUUCUCGUGGUGUCUGUGACAGCCCCUGACCCAACAACUCCAUGCAGAGUAUUUGGGGAAGGUUCAAGAGAGGGUCAAGAGAAUUUAUAUGAGAAAACACUUGCCUCUAAACAAGAUUCUGGGAUGUGAUAAUCCAAAAAUGCAAUUUUCAAAAGUGCCUUCUUUAGACCCAAGGAAUAAUUUUAGAAAAGGGAAAGUCUCAGAGUUAAGGAGCAGAUGUUGACACAGUUGCUUAUAGUAUAUGAUAUGAGAGGCAUUUCUGAGAGAACUUCCUAUUCAGAACAACAAUAUAUUAAUAACUAACUUUGAAUAACUAAUCCCUGGACCCCUCGCUAACACCAGGAACUUUUCAAAGUGUUUGGUAUUAAAAUGGCUUUCGAUUGGUUAAGGUGAAAUUUUUAUCUCUUAACAGUGGAAUACCCUUACCUGAGUAUGGUAGAUACGAUAAUAACUGAGUAACAGAUGGGAAUCCCGUUUUGUACAGAGUGCAUCCUGAAGUACCUAAAUCCACACAGAGUAGCUGCCCCCUCUCCUCGCCCAUGUGAGGUAUUGUAGCACCUCAGUGGACAGCUAGGGUCUCCACCAUUUUCCUUACCUUCCUUAGCCCAAGCUCAGCAGAUAACCUUGCUUUGUAAUUAAAAAAAAAAAAAAAAGUGAAGGCUAUAAGGUGUCCAUUUCUUGAUUUUCCUGGCCUCUUAUCUACAUAAUUACCUCCUCCUGCCUAUUUUCUGAUUGUUUCCUCCACUCACGGAGGAAAGACAUAACAGAUUCUGCAAGAUGCAUCCUUGAAUCUCUAGAUGUCUAGGCAAAAAGUGGAUUCCCAAAAGGGAGGGGAGCAGGUGAUGGUGCUUUGAGGAGAAAAAUGACCUUGAACUUGGGCCCCAUCUCUGCCAGGAGGUGGUGUAGGCUGCUGAUGGCCAGGCAGGGUUUUAGCUGGAUUCAGUUUUCAGUCUUCUUUCCAUCCCUGAUUGGUUGUAGGAUUUGGAGCAAAUUAUUCUCGGCCACCUCUUUUAGCUUCACUUUUCUUCUUCAUGAAUGGGUGUAACGUCUACUUCAUGAGGAGAAUUAAAGAAGAUCAUACAAGUGUGGAGGAAAGAAAAUGUGAUUUUAAAACCUAAUUUCAGAUGCUUCCACAUGAAAGAUCCUCAACAGAGGAAAAUUUAUGCUUUUGAUUAGAAAAGGAUAUUGAUGGGCCAUCUACUUCUGAGAGGCAAAGUCCAGACCCAGCUGGACGGGAGAAAUUGGGAUACCGUAGGUUUAAAAGUAGCUUGCUCUGAGAAAUGAAGCCAUGGGAUUUUCAAAUUUUCUCCCUGGAACCAGAGGGAAAAGCAAUAAGACCAGAGUGCUCUUCCCAACAGGCAUGGUAGAUAAUAAAAUGAAGGUUGCUUUUUCUUUGCUGCUCCAGUUUGUUGUUACCCUUUCCUGUGUCUUUAGUGGAGCUUUGCAGCUUCCUUAGACUUGAAUUAACACUGCUUUAAGGAAUCAAGAGAAGGAUUGAUUGGGACAGGCUGGGGCAUCCUGCAGACGUUGAUAAGGGAUCAAGUGUUGUGUCUAGAGCAGAGACCAGGGACAAGUGGUGAGGAACCACCAGGAAAAUGUAACUUCCUCUCUGGUGAUCCUCAGAAACAUUAAGAAGGGACCUGAACUCUCCUAGUUAUUCAUUUGCAUUUGAUGGUCUUUGUGUCCCUUUGAGCCCAGAAGCCUAGAAGACUUCGGGACAAGUGAAAUAUAUUCACUUUUUACUGCUACCACCUUAAAAUAAGUUACCACCCUUCUAUUCUGAACUGCUGCAAUUGCCUCUUAACUAUAGAAUCUUCCACUGUCCCUUCCAAUCCAUUCUUUACGCAGUUGCCAAAAAAAAAUAUUUUAAGCAUAAAAUGGAUCAAUCUGCCACUCUUCUUAAAUCUUUUCUUUGGCUUCCCAUUUGCCUUGAGUAAAUCUGAACUCCUUUUGACCUGUCAGGCCUGCAUGUUUCCAUGAACAGCCUCAUAUGGUAUCCAGUGGUCCCCUUCACCAAUGUACUCCAGGACCCUCAGGGUCUGUACCGACCCUUCUUUCCUCUGGAGUCCUGCUCCUCCUGGGUUUCAUGCAUCUGGCACAUCACCCUCAGGUCUCUACACUGGUGUUACCUUCUUGGUGCAAUCUUCCCUGGCCACUCCACAUAAACUGGUCCCAGCCUCUCACCGUUGCUAUUAUCUAUUGCAAUACUCUGGUUGUUUCUUUGGCCACCUGAUGUGAAGAACUGACUCAUUUGAAAAGACUGUGAUGCUGGGAAAGAUCAAAGGCAGGAGGAGAAGGGGUUGACAGAGGAUGAGAUGGUUGGAUGGCAUCACCAACUCGAUGGACAUGAGUUUGAGCAAAUUCCAGGAGUUGGUGAUGGACAGGGAAGCCUGGCGAUCUGCAGUGCUUGGAGUCAUAAAGAGUCAGACAUGACUGAGCAACUGAACUGAGGCUGUUUCUUUGUCGUACCUACCCUGUAUUGUGAUUAUCCAUCUUUCUGCCUUCUUAUUUACUGUCUUUAUGAGGGCAAAGGCUUGGCAUACUUCACAAACCCCACCAAUGCAUCUGUACCUGCUUUAGUGCCUGAACCCUAGUAGGCCAUCAAUAAUAUUUGAAGGAUGGGAUGGAUGAACAGUUGUCCAGAGUAACGUCAUCCAAUAGAAAUAUAAUGUGGGCCACAUAUGUAACUUUAAAUUGUUCAGUAGCUACAUAUAAAAAAGAAACAGUAAAAUUAAUUUUAAUAAUGUAUUUUAUUUACCCAGUGUAUCCAAAAUCUUAUCAUUCCAACAUGCAGUCAACAUAAAAAUUGUUAAUGAGAAAUUUUACAAUUUUUUCUAAGUCUUAAAAACGCAUUGUGAAUUUUAUACUUUCAGCACAUCUCAAUUUGAUGUAACCACAUUUCAGGUGUUCAGAAGCCACAUGAGGCUCUUGACUCCUGCACUGGACAGUGAGGUCUAGAGUGUACAGGGCUUGAUAUGUUGUAGCUAUUAGAUAAUAAAAAUAAUGCAAAGCUUCAGAGUAAGAAAGGCUCAGUGCGAGAGCUGCAGAGAAGAGCCGUACCUUCUGACCUGAGGCUUUUUCAUUCACUUGCUAGCACCUGGAACCACAGGGAGACCAAGUGUGCCCUAAUGGAUAAGGCCAUAGGAUGAGGGGCAAGAUGGACAUCUGUACAGAAGGCAGACACCCACAGAGCAUGUGCAGAGAACACCAGAAGGACAGCAGCCUUGUUGCCUGGGUGGGAGAAGAAAAUGGGCAGCAGGCUUUGCCAGAAAGUUCUCUGCCAGCGGAGAAUCUCAGAAUGGAAUCCAUUGAGACAUCAUCAGAGAUCUCGCAGAGAGAUACUGUUCUUGGGGUUUGUUGGUUACAGAGUAUGUAAUGCUGAUCAUUUUUUCUUUUCUUUAUUAUGAAAACUUCCUUUGGCUAAUUUGUGGCCAGCAGGUUUUCAGUUAGGAAUUUGAAACGAGCCAACUAGGCUGUCUACUGAAGACGGUUUUCCAGGUAGGAAAUUGUCUCCUAAAAGUGACUUUUAGAUGAGAGCAUCUCGCUAGAUAAUAUUCACCAUUGCAUCUAUGGCGCAGUACUUGAGAGAAAAAUUCCAUUGUGCGCAUUUAAAACUCAGUUGUCAUACUCUGAGAGUAAUAUGUGUGCAGUACAAGAGGUAAGCUACUCGUAUCCGAAGCAAGAACUGUCUCCCGCCUGCACUUGACUAAUUACAUUUCAUUGGUCAGUACCAGCAUCAUCUCUUGUCACUGAGUUCCUGAAUCAGAAGGACAAAAGGACCAUUAGUGCAGAGUCACUGAGCCCACCUCUGCUCUGACAGAGCAAAUCUGGGGGAUAGAUUCUGAAUCAUUUGCACAAAGUUCCUGAAGGUGUCAUGGGGAUCUGUGAACAAGAGCACGUUUAAGGAUAUUUAAGGGCAAAUUCCACAGUAUAUCUGAGAAUGGUUUUAACAUGUUGACUUCUGAAAAUGAAGACCCACUCUGCACAAGUUUCAAACAGUAUCUGCCAGUAAAAUUUUUUUAGAGACCCAUGGUCUAUCUAUAAAAGAUCCAGUAAUUUUCAUGAGAGGUUUCCAAAGUGGGGUGAGGAAGGUAAGACUUUCCCCAGCACAAAAAAAGCUGCAGUUUGACAAAAGACCAGCUCUCUUUGACAACAAACAUGCUGUGAAAGCACAACUCUUCCUUUCAGACUAUAUUAAUAGAAAAA